UUGACAGGAAGUGCUUCUCCAGUUGCAAGGGCCGUGAAAUAUCUACGGCAACAAAUGACAACGCAACAAUUAUAUUUAGUGCGAGGAAUUUAAAGAGCUGUGUCCUCGCUAAUCACGUGACUUUUCCAUUCUUCCGGAUCGAGUGGCGGUCCGUUACCCGCGAACAUCGGCGGGAGAAUCGAUCUAUCUAUGACGUC